rnacentral:lncRNA from 1 species
UUAUUUUAAUAUUAAAAAUGCCAAAAAUAUUAUGCUCAUUGUUUGAUCUCCAAUCUCCAUCUCAUUCCUGAUUUCUUAUUGUUUGACUUUGACUUUCAAUGUCAAUUGGUCAAUACAUAUGGAUUGGUACAUCUUAUUCCAUCUUAUGCAUUUUGAUCUUUCCAUUUCCUUAUCCAUUCUUCAUCUCCUUCUUCCUUCUUCUUCUU